UACAGAGGUCCCAAGCGUUGUUCGGAUUCACUGGGCGUAAAGGGUGCGUAGGCGGUCGAGUAAGUCUGACGUGAAAUCUCCGGGCCUAACCCGGAAACUGCGUUGGAAACUACUUGGCUAGAGGAAUGGAGGGGAGACUGGAAUACUUGGUGUAGCAGUGAAAUGCGUAGAUAUCGUUUGGAACGCCAAUGGUGAAAACAGGUUGCUGGGAGUGCGCUGACGCUGAGACACGAAAGCCAGGGGAGCGAACGGG
rnacentral:rRNA from 1 species